rnacentral:rRNA from 1 species
UACAGAGGGUGCAAACGUUGCUCGGAAUUAUUGGGCGUAAAGCGCGUGUAGGCGGCUUGUUAAGUCGGUUGUGAAAACCCAUGGCUCAACCAUGGAAGUGCGUCCGAAACUGGCAAGCUAGAGUCUUGACGAGGAUGGCGGAAUUCCCAGUGUAGAGGUGAAAUUCGUAGAUAUUGGGAAGAACACCAGUGGCGAGGGCGGCUCACUGGACCGGUUCUGACGCUGAGGAGCGAAAGCGUGGGGAGCGAACAGG